GACGUAGGGUGCGAGCGUUGUCCGGAUUUAUUGGGCGUAAGGAGCUCGUAGGCGGUUUGUCGCGUCGUUCGUGAAAACUCACAGCUUAACUGUGAGCUUGCGGUCGAUACGGGCAGGCUAGAGUUCGGUAGGGGAGACUGGAAUUCCUGGUGUAGCGGUGAAAUGCGCAGAUAUCAGGAGGAACACCGGUGGCGAAGGCGGGUCUCUGGGCCGAUACUGACGCUGAGGAGCGAAAGCGUGGGGAGCGAACAGG
rnacentral:rRNA from 1 species